rnacentral:rRNA from 1 species
UACGGAGGAUGCAAGCGUUAUCCGGAUUUAUUGGGUUUAAAGGGUGCGCAGGUUGUUUGAUAAGUCAGUGGUGAAAGUCUGUCGCUUAACGGUAGGAUUGCCAUUGAUACUGUUAGACUUGAAUAUGGAUGAGGUAGGCGGAAUGUGUAGUGUAGCGGUGAAAUGCUUAGAUAUCACACAGAAUAUCGAUUGCGAAGGCAGCUCACAAAGCCAAGAUUGACGCUGAGGCACGAAAGUAGUGGGGAGUCAAA